UCUUCGGGUAAAUCUGAUAUCUUGCAUUGGAUUAACUCAAAAAAAGCGCAAAGCGUUCCUAUGCACUUAAGUAAUUAUGGGCCUGAUAGGCAGAUGACUGGUGUUUGUUGCAAUAUAAGUGCUAAGCAACAGAUCGGGACCAGUCUCCUGUUAUGCAGUUGAGAGGAGGAGGAUGUGUUUAUCUGAUAGGCAUGUAAAUGAAUUAUAUUGUAUGCAGGAGUCUCCUCAUCUCUUUAUGGCCUGUGUGGGGUCACUGAAGAGGUAACAGAUUUCUUAGCCAUGUUCUCCUGGUUGUAAUCUUAUGUCCCUCCUUUAAGGAACUGUUGCCUUCCUGAGCAGUGCCGUCUAUGCUCCGCCAGCACAGAAACAGCUUUCUCAGCCUGUUUUCAACAGGUAGCGAUAGCCCGGAUUUGCCAUGCAGCCCUUGGAGUUCUGCCCAUACUUUUUGUGAGCGCCGUUGCCAUGAUACAGAACGUAGAGCAGAUGUUUAUUUCAACAGAGAUGUCUUUAAUUCCUUCUCAACGUUUUUCUCAGGCUGCCAUCGUGUGUGAAUACUUCUCUCUAGGAGCCAAAUGCAGCCCAGGGCCAAGAGCAGAGCCUGAUUCAGAAGGAAACGGGGGCUAGGAGGUGCGUAGAGGAGAGGUCAAGACAGACAGCCAAGCCUGCUGGAAGUUUCUGAGCACCCACAUUUGGUAGGGAUGGAGUGGAUCAGCGUUCCUGCCUGCUGGAUCACAGGCAGACAACCAUCUCUCGGAGAAAAGCACUGUUACACCGCUGCUCUGCUUCUGCAUGUGGGUACAGAUUGGUAUGCGGGAGAAAUCCCACUUGGAAGUGGUGCCUUCCUGGAAUGGGUGCUUUUUUAGCAUAGGAAUUCUGCUUCGAGCCAGCUUCCUGUUGCUGCUGCCUUAUAUAGAAAUGUUUUAUCAUUCUAUAAAUACAGUAUGUGUUUUAUUAAAAAAGAAGACAGAAAUGGAUAUGCAGGAACAAAAUUCUGGAGGAAUAACAGUCAGUGGCAGGGCCUCUCACAGACUUCCUUCACCCCCUUCCACUGCUGUGGUCAAGCUAUUUUUGUAUUCCACGAGAGAGCACUUUGCUGAAACUUCAGGUUCCUUCUUAAAAGGAAAUUGGAAGAGAGGAAGGGUCUGUUUUAAAACUAGAAAAUAAAGUUGUAAGCAGGAAUGAGACUAAAAAUUUUAAGCUGAGAACCUCAAAUCUCUAGCACUCUAAAUUCCCAUUGGCAUGCGUAGUACAGGUUUGGGCCUAAAUUAAGAUUCCCAGUGAAGGAUAUCCUGUAAAUACUGCCUUCAGUUUACAGCUGGGUAUGCAAUAGCUCAGAAAGGAUAAGUGAAUUGGCCAAGGCCAUACAGCAAAUUAGUGGGAUAGCCAGGAACAGAAACCUGGAGCCUUGGCUUCCAAUCUGUGUGUAACAUCCUGUGUGCACAACCACUGCAGAAGGGAACUUAAUGCAAAAAAAGAAAAAGACUUCUUGC